rnacentral:rRNA from 1 species
UACAGAGGUGGCAAGCGUUGUUCGGAUUUACUGGGCGUAAAGGGUGCGUAGGUGGUCGCUUAUGUCGGGUGUGAAAUACCAAGGCUCAACCUUGGAAUGGCGCUCGAAACUGGGCGACUUGAGUGCAGGAGGGGAGAGCGGAAUUCUUGGUGUAGCGGUGAAAUGCGUUGAUAUCAAGAAGAACACCGGUGGCGAAGGCGGCUCUCUGGAAUGCUACUGACACUGAGGCACGAGAGUUGGGGGAGCAAACAGG